GUCUGUGCUUGCACAGUGUCAAGUGUUGGUAGUUCUCAGGACAGGGGGCACAGAAAGAUACUCUGGGAAAUAAUUUUUAACCCCCUGCAAUUCACUGUUCAGAAAGGUACACCACUUUGGUGGCAGCCCUGAUGGAGGCAAUCUUUUCCUCAUACGCACAAUUCUCUUUGCAAGGUGGCUCUGAUAAAAUUUAAGUAUGAACUUUACUUGUUUCCAGGAGCUCUUGGAAGAACUAAAAACGUAUCACAGGGUCCAGCAUUAAAUCCUUCCCUGCUGGGAUGCAGCAGAGAACGGAAACUGUCAGGCAGUUUGAGAUCCACUUAACAGCAAUUAGUGCAGAUGAAAGAAGCACUAACGCGAAAGCCCCAGUCUCUGUGCCUUGGGUGGGAGGAGGAAAGGAAUGUGUAAGAGAAAAUGUAAACAUGAAAAAAUGUGGCUGUGUCUCCCACAAAACAAUGAAUCAUUUUAACAUUUCCAAUCCUUUUCAUGCAAGCAGAAACAGUCGAUCAAUAUGUGACAGAAUUAAAGACCUGCAGUAAAACCUUGGAGCUGAGGAUCUGUGAGAAUUGUGAAUACAGAGUAAUCUGCGGAAUUCUGCAUACAGCAUAAAAGAAAGGCAAAUGUAUGUACAAAAGCCGGACGGUGCAACCGCAGAAGUCUGCUGGGCAAGAGGACUCCUCUGCCCACCCAGAGGAGCACCCGUUGGAGGGGAGAAGCCAUCACUGGCAACGGAUAUGGAGCACCUACAGAAAGUAGGAGUAUUUCCCAGAAAAUUCCAGGUUACAACAAAUGUGGCCCUAAACCGCAUCCUUGUAAAAGCCAGCAACAUGGGAUUCAGAAUGUGCGUUCACAAAAGCUGCAGCUGUAGCCAUGGCUCUGGAGGACUUUCGGCCAGUAAGGGCAUCUCAUAGACUUUAUCCUGUGAAGUGGUGAAAACAGUCAAGAGAUGCUAUUCUAUGAUUCCAUGCCACAGCUGACUUCAAGACAAUGACAAUUUCAAGGUGGUGAACCGCGCAUCUAGCUGUAGGUCUUGGGAGCAAACAACUUGGAAUGAGCUCCUGUGGCACUGACAGAAGGGCAUUGUGUGAACACAUCCCACAGCAGGGUGUCAUCCUCCCCAGCUCACCUCGCAGUCACGCUGGCUGCCUGCCCGCUAGCAGAGCAAACACUUGCCAUUGGGCUUUCUUGAGGACCCAGUCUGGGACUGGACCAUCAAGGCAAAUGCUGAACGUCUGCUACAAAUAACUGUCCCAACCAUUAAUUUUUAUAGGCUGAGUGGCAGGAUUUCAUGCUGGGCACAACCAGCAGAGGAGAUGAAAGCUCGAAGCCAAAUAGACAUCACAGAGCCAGUACAAAUGCUAUUUAUUAAAGAAAUGCCUGGAUUGCAGAGGAAGCAGAAAGGUGCGUCUUGAAAGGAACCUUUAAUGCCUGUGAGUGAAAAGCAACAAGGGCUGGGAAGCAAGAGGAGCUGCCAGAGGCAACAGCUAAUGGACCUGGUCCUGGGGUGAGCUGGCAGCAGGGAGCACGUGGCUGGGAGCCAAAGGAGGCAAUGCCAUGGCCAAUCUGAGGUGUGUCCAGACCCCCUCCGUUCAAACUCUCCCAGCUGAGCCUGCAGGUGAUGUCAUGGUACGCAGAGUAUUUCUGCACAGACCACUGGCCCUGGCGUGUGCUGAGGAGCCUCUCCCAGGAUGGGCACCCUGGUGCCAGCACUCUUGUUAGCAAUUCAGACUGGUGGCCCGUGUCAUUGAGACAUGGCCAGUGAGCAAAGGCAUUCCCUCCCUUGAAGAGUCAGCUUCCGUGCAAGUUUCCCAUCUGCAUGCUCCCGUCUUGUCCUGGAAGGAAAAGGACUGGAAAGAAGGCCAGCCAGUGUCUUUGCAUCUGUCCUUACCCUUGUGUUGAAACUUGACUGCCAACAACUUGUCACAAAGAUGUUUUCUACAGCGACGUACUUCAUGCUGGGCUCUUCCAGCGUAGCACUGGUCACACUGUGGGAACGCUCCGGCUGGUUCAUUCUGCUGCUCAGCUGAGGAAGACGCGUUCUCCUGCUAGUGUCCAAGGACAGGCUCCCAAGGGAAGGGAGUUGCACCGCAAUCAUGCAGCUGGUGCAUCUGCGGCAGUCUUUGGGGCCGCCGCAGAGCCUUCCCCUAGCCCUCCCCUCCAUGGGCUCAGCCAGGAGCGGCCAGGGCCAGCCAUCUGCGUGCAGGACACUGGGGAAGGGGUCUGGCAGUUCACUGCUGUCCUCUCCAUGGGACUCCUGGGGGCUGAUGUGGUCACAAAACACCCUGUCCCCAAGCAGUGGUUCAGCGCUCAG